rnacentral:rRNA from 1 species
GUGAAAGAUUUAUCGAUUGAUGGACUCGCGCUAUCAGCUGUGGUGAGGUAAUGGCUCACAAGCGACGACGGUAGCCGGCCUGAGAGGGUGACCGGCCACCAUUGGACUGAGACACGGCCCAGACUCUACGGGAGGCAGCAGUGGGGAUAUGCACAAUGGGCGCAAGCCUGAUGCAGCGACGCCGCGUGAGGGAUGACGGCUUCGGGUUGUAAACCUCUUUCAGUAGGAAGAAGCGAAAGUGACGGUACCUGCAGAAGAAGCACCGGCUAACUACGUGCCAGCAGCCGCGGUAAUACGUAGGGUGCGAGCGUUAUCCGGAAUUAUUGGGCGUAAAGAGCUCGUAGGCGGUUUGUCGCGUCUGUCGUGAAAGUCCGGGGCUUAACCCGGAUCUGCGGUGGGUACGGGCAGACUAGAGUGCAGUAGGGGAGACUGGAAUUCCUGGUGUAGCGGUGGAAUGCGCAGAUAUCAGGAGGAACACCGAUGGCGAAGGCAGGUCUCUGGGCUGUAACUGACGCUGAGGAGCGAAAGCAUGGGGAGCGAACAGGAUUAGAUACCCUGGUAGUCCAUGCCGUAAACGUUGGGCACUAGGUGUGGGGACCAUUCCACGGUUUCCGCGCCGCAGCUAACGCAUUAAGUGCCCCGCCUGGGGAGUACGGCCGCAAGGCUAAAACUCAAAGGAAUUGACGGGGGCCCGCACAAGCGGCGGAGCAUGCGGAUUAAUUCGAUGCAACGCGAAGAACCUUACCAAGGCUUGACAUGUUCUCGAUCGCCGUAGAGAUACGGUUUCCCCUUUGGGGCGGGUUCACAGGUGGUGCAUGGUUGUCGUCAGCUCGUGUCGUGAGAUGUUGGGUUAAGUCCCGCAACGAGCGCAACCCUCGUUCCAUGUUGCCAGCACGUAAUGGUGGGGACUCAUGGGAGACUGCCGGGGUCAACUCGGAGGAAGGUGAGGACGACGUCAAAUCAUCAUGCCCCUUAUGUCUUGGGCUUCACGCAUGCUACAAUGGCCGGUACAAUGGGUUGCGAUACUGUGAGGUGGAGCUAAUCCCAAAAAGCCGGUCUCAGUUCGGAUUGGGGUCUGCAACUGCCCCCAUGAAGUCCAGGAUGCAGUGCUAUAACUACAUACAGCAUUCCCUCCUCCACCCACGGUAA